GACGAACGCUGGCGGCGUGCCUAAUACAUGCAAGUCGUGCGGACCUUGUUGAAAGCUUGCUUUUACAAGGUUAGCGGCGGACGGGUGAGUAACACGUUGGCAACCUGCCUGUAAGACUGGGAUAACGCCGGGAAACCGGGGCUAAUACCAGAUCGUUUUUUCCUCCGCAUGGAGGAAAAAGGAAAGCCGGCUUCGGCUGCCACUUACAGAUGUGCCCGCGGCGCAUUAGCUAGUUGGCGGGGUAAUGGCCCACCAAGGCAACGAUGCGCAGCCGACAUGAGAGGGUGAUCGGCCACAUUGGGACUGAGACACGGCCCAAACUCCUACGGGAGGCAGCAGUAGGGAAUCUGCCGCAAUGGACGAAAGUCUGACGGAGCAACGCCGCGUGAGGGAAGAAGGCCUUCGGGUCGUAAAACUCUGUUGCCGGGGAAGAACAAGUGCCGUUCGAACAGGGCGGCGCCUUGACGGUACCCGGCCAGAAAGCCACGGCUAACUACGUG
rnacentral:rRNA from 1 species